GCUUCAUGAUGAUAUCAAGGCAAAUGUGACCUCAUUGGCAGGCAGCUUCCUCAACCCAUUGCCUAUCUAGAGGUCUGUAAUCUUGGUGGUCAAUGCAAAGUAAUAUGUGUCCGCUGUAAGGGCAGGCCAACAGUAUAUCCCAUUCCUUCUGCCUUUCUCCCUGGAGAAGGUAUCCAUCUCUUGCAAAGUAUCGCAAAGCGUGGUCAAGGGUGUGGGCACAGGACAAGCUUAGUGUAUCUGGGUUAUGGGUUGCUGGGUGCUGCCAGAGUUAUGGCUGUUGGGGCAUCAUGAGCACAAGUCUUUGGUAAUCUGAAAGCU